UGAGUAACCUGCCCUUAACUCUGGGAUAAGCCUGGGAAACUGGGUCUAAUACCGGAUAUGACUCCUCAUCGCAUGGUGGGGGGUGGAAAGCUUUAUUGUGGUUUUGGAUGGACUCGCGGCCUAUCAGCUAGUUGGCGAGGUAACGGCUCACCAAGGCUACGACGGGUAGCCGGCCUGAGAGGGUGACCGGCCACACUGGGACUGAGACACGGCCCAGAUUCCUACGGGAGGCAG
rnacentral:rRNA from 1 species